GGAAAAUUUCGAAAAUAAGCUGGGCUGGGCAAGCAAGUUUCCAGUGACCGCAAACCAGAUGGGUGGCAGUACCAACAGAGGUAGAAAUGAUGUAGCUGGCCAGACCUUCCAAGGAGAAUGGCUGUACCCACCAAAUCCCAAGUACAUUAAUUACAGCUUAUCAGAUGGUUGACAUGGCCAACAGAGGAAGAAAUGAGGUAGCGGGACCUUCCUACCAAAUUCCCAAUGCAAAUCAGGUGGGUGCAUGACGGCGCCAUCAAAGGAAGAAAUGACAUUUCUCAAGCAAGUUCUGUGGAGAUUCUGGCGAGAUUCGCUCUUCAUGUCAUGGAUGCUAUGCUCUCUGCUUUACUCAUUGGGACCAGAGUUCACAUUGCGAGGAUGACAUGUAAAGUGGAAAUCGCAAAUUGAGAGGCCUCCACUGCUCAAAGCUUUUCAAUUCAGACCUCAUCCAACACUUUUGAAUCCUGC
rnacentral:lncRNA from 1 species